UUACGGUCACACCACGUAGAAACAUCGAUUCCCAUAAGAUCACCGAAGUUAAGCAAUGCCGAGCCUGGUCAGUACCUAAAUGGGUGACCCCUUGGGAAUACCUGGUACCGUUA